CUGCACAGCUACGACAGUAAAUUGACUCACUGUACAAGACCUCCCCCCUUCACUCUACUGCAGGGUGGGAGAUGCAACAAUGUCCUUGAGAACAGCAGGAAGUGUGUUGGGGGUCUUUCUCUGGUCUGUAGCAGUGGUACGGGGUCAGGAUGGCUGGAGUGUUACAUACACCACUCAGAGAAUCUGUACCUUGAAGGGGUCAUCAGUGGACCUGGUCUGCUCUUAUACAUAUCCCAGAGGUAAAGUCACAACAACCUUCUGGUUCACUAGAAAUGAUGCUGACAUGAAAUCUGAAAUCAUGUGACUCUGAGUGAUGAACCAGACUACACCGGUCAUGUGACGUACUGUAGCAACAAGAAGAAUGGCCACACCCUGACAAUCAGAGAUCUGAGAGAGUGUGACUCAGCUAUGUGCUGAGUCACAGCUAUGUGCUGAGACACUCUCCACAGAGUGUCCAUCCUGACCCUAACUGUGACACACACACCACUGAAAAUGAGGACCAGACAAUCUGGCAGUAGGUAUGUUAUAACAUAUUCAUAUAUGUGUUUAUUUUGUAUAAAAUAUUUGUGUUUGUGUGUGUGAGUGGGUGACACAGAGAGAUGAACACACAAAGUAGAAGUGAGAGAGAAUGCUAUAGAGCAGUGUGUAAAGUGCUCAUACUGUGUUUCCUUUGUCGCUGUCUCUCUGAGUGUGAAAAUCCCCCACAGUGACACGUUCACAUCUCUUCAGAGAG